rnacentral:misc_RNA from 1 species
GUAGUGAUCAUACUUAUCAGUAUCCUUCAUGAAGCCUUGGAACCCAGUCUAUUGUUGGUGGAGUCAGUGGUUCACUACUCUAUCAACUGUAAAUAGGCGACAUCUCUACUGUGCUUGAAUAUCCUCCAGGGUAACAUGCAGCUGUCAAUUAGUUGACUGUCCACAGAUCAAACAGAGGUGGUCCCGUCGAUUCUCGCUGGAUUGAGAUAUGAUCGGCCUGUUCUUGCAAAAGAAUCAGACCUCGCGUUCCGUAGGUGAACCUGCGGAAGGAUCAUUAAAGAGAACUUGCCCUUCGGGGUAUAUCUCCCACCCUAUGUUUACAUACCUUUGUUGCUUUGGCGGGCCCGUCUCACGACCACCGGCAUUUUCGCUGGUCAGUGCCCGCCAGAGGACCCCAACUCUAAAUUUUAUGUCGUCUGAGUACUAUAUAAUAGUUAAAACUUUCAACAACGGAUCUCUUGGUUCUG